rnacentral:rRNA from 1 species
CCUACGGGAGGCAGCAGUGGGGAAUAUUGGACAAUGGGGGCAACCCUGAUCCAGCCAUGCCGCGUGUGUGAAGAAGGCCUUCGGGUUGUAAAGCACUUUAGGUCGGGAGGAAGGUUCGCUGGCUAAUAUCCAGCGGAAUUGACGUUACCGACAGAAUAAGCACCGGCUAACUCCGUGC